rnacentral:rRNA from 1 species
AUGGAUAUUGUGGACUAUCUGAGACCCAAAUAUGUUCUAACGGAAAAUGUAGUAGAUCUACUAAAAUUCACAGAUGGUUUCCUUGGAAAGUAUGCGCUAAGCCGCCUUGUUGCCAUGAAUUACCAAGCUAGGCUUGGGAUGAUGGUUGCCGGAAAUUUUGGACUACCACAGUAUAGGAUGCGUGCAUUUGUAUCUGGGGAGCUCUUCCUUCAGUGGUGUGUCUCUUUUAUAUCUUCUUUUUACCUUGUAACACUACUACUCAAUAAGAAUGUACAUUUGGCAAUACAUCUACUUCAAAAAUUCCCACUUACCACCCAUGACGUUGUUAAGGGAGGAGGAGUAGUGCCAAAAGCAUUUGUGGUAAGAGAUUAUAUGAAUAACCACCACAUUUUUGUAAUUUUUUUACUAUUAUUGUGUCUUACUAUAAUAUUAUUCUUUUCAGCAAUAUGUCGUUGCAUAUGA